rnacentral:misc_RNA from 1 species
UGUCAGAUAAGAGAUUUCAUCACCACCUAAUGGGGACACCAAUGAGGUGAAGUCUAGGACUUUCACUGGGCCAUAAGAUUACCACAAAGGUUGUGUUUGGUACAAGGUUAAGAGGAUGAUUCGUCCAAUUUUUAUAUUUGUGUAUUAACGUUAAAAACCAAAAUAACACAACGUAAUAGUGAGGGUAGUGGUGUAAACUCAUUGAUGGCCAUUGUAACAGGGGUGCAAGUGGUUGUAUUAUGUAGCUAUGCCGUGAAGUGAAACCGCUUCUUUUCCUUUCAUCCCAAUUAGCCCAGUCCAUCUAGGAUGAAAUGUUAACCUCCCUAAAAUUUUUCCCUUUCCCACCAAAUAUCGGGAAAGAGUAGUAAAAUGUUACUCCACUAAUAAUAAGUGUCCAUUAAACCCAUCCAAAACAUAAAUUUAUCCAUAAUAUACACAAUAUGAAUUCAGAAUAUACCACAAUGUAAAGAAAACUAAAUUAUCCAAGCAAAGCAUUACCCUAGAUUCAAAGGGUGAAAGCACAAAGGAGACCUAAAUUGAAUCAAUUCAAUCAUUGAACUCAGUAGGGGGCAAUAUUUUUAAAUUCUUGCCUCUAA